CCCGGUGUACGUUCAAUGGUACGAUGACCGCAAUAACGUAGCGGGGGAUGUGGGUUCGAGUCCCGCCGCGGGUG